AUGUUCAUGAAUUGCCGAUUAUUUUCAACUAACCACAUAGGCACUGCCUUAAGCCUCCUAAUUCAAGCAGUACCUAGCCAGCCAGGAACUCUGCUAGGAGAUGAUCAAAUCUAUAAUGUUAUUGUUACCGCCCACGCAUUUGUUAUCGUCUUCUUUAUAGUUAUACCAAUCAUAAUUGGAAGUUUCGGCAACUGGCUAGUUCCCUUGAUAGUGGGUGUGCCCGAUAUGGUGUUUCUCCGAAUAAAUAACAUGAGUUUCUGACUUCUCACCCGAUCCUUUCUACUUCUGCUUGCAUCCUCAAUGGUAGAGGCAGGCACCGGAACUGGCUGAGCAGUUUAUCCCCCUUUAGCAGGGAACCUAGAGCAUGCAGGAGCCUCCGUGGACUUGACCAUCUUCUCGCUCCACCUGGCAGAUGUCUCUUCUAUCUUAGGGGCCAUCAACUUUAUUAUCACAAUCAUCAACAUAAACCCCCCAGCAAUAUCCCAAUAUCAGACACCUCCUUUCGUUUGAUCCGUCCUCAUUACGGUAGUCCUUCUACUACUAUCCCUCCAUCCCUCCCAGUCCUAGCCACCAGCAUUACUAUAUUAUUAACUGAUCUCAACCUCAACACUUCUUUUUUUUUUUUUGAGACAGAGUCUCACUCUAUCGCCCAGGCUGGAGUGCAGUGGCAGCGAUCUCGGCUCACUGCAACCUCCGUCUCCUGGGUUCAAGUGAUUCUCCUGCCUCAGCAUCCUGAGUAGCUGGGGCUACAGGCGCCUGCCACCAUGCCUGGCUAAUUUUUUGCAUUUUUAGUAGAGAUGGGGUUUCACCGUGUUAGCCAGGACGGUCUCGAUCUCCUGACCUCGUGAUACGCCUGCCUCGGCCUCCCAAAGUGCUGGGAUUACAGGCAUGAGCCACUGUGCCAGGCCAACACUUCUUUUUUUGAUGCUGCUGGCAGGGGUGACCUUAUCUUGUACCAACAUUUAUUCUGAUUUUUUGGUCACCCUGAGGUCUAUAUCCUCAUCCUACCAGGGUUCGGGAUAAUUUCCCACGUUGUAACAUAUUAUUCUGGAAAAAAGGAGCCAUUUGGUUACAUGGACAGAGUAUGAGCCAUAAUAUCAAUUGACUUCUUAGGGUUUAUCAUAUGAGCCCACCAUAUAUUUACAGUGGGAAUAGAUAUAGACACACGGGCAUACUUCACAUCUGCUACUAUAAUUAUUGCUAUCCCAACUGGCGUUAAAGUAUUUAGCUGACUAGCUACCCUGCAUGGUGGUAACAUCAAAUGAUCCCCCACAAUACUCUGAGCCCUAGGGCUUAUUUUCCUCUUCACAGUAGGAGGAUUGACCAGCAUCGUAUUAGCUAACUCAUCACUAGAUAUUGACUUACACAACACAUAUUACGUUGUAGCCCACUUCCACUAUGUCUUAUCCAUAGGAGCAGUGUUUGCCAUUAUAGGCAGCUUAGUCCUCAGAUUCCCCCUAUUUUCAGGCUAUACACUCAAUCCAGCCUAAGCCAAAAUCCACUUCACUAUUAUAUUUACAGGUGUUAAUUUAACUUUCUUCCCACAAGUUUUCUUUGGCCUCUCCGGUAUACCUCGAUGUUACUCUGACAAUCCUGAUGCAAUAUCUGCAUGAAAUAUUACCUUGUCUCUAGGCUCAUUUAUCUCACUAACAGCAGUCAUGUUAAUAAUUUUUAUAAUCUGAGAGGCCUUUGCUUCAAAACGAGAAGUAUUAAUAAUUGAACAACCAUCUACUAACCUAGAGUGACUUUACAGCUGCCCGCCAACUUAUCACACAUUUGAGGAACCAGCUUAUGUGAAA
rnacentral:lncRNA from 1 species